GGUGAGAUGGCCGAGCGGUCUAAGGCGCCAGACUAAGGUAUCAUCUGCUCGAUGGCUUCGGGGGCGGGAGUUCGAAUCUCCCUCUCAUCA